UGUGAGCUCGAUGAGUAGGGCGGGACACGUGGUAUCCUGUCUGAAUAUGGGGGGACCAUCCUCCAAGGCUAAAUACUCCUGACUGACCGAUAGUGAACCAGUACCGUGAGGGAAAGGCGAAAAGAACCCCGGCGAGGGGAGUGAAAAAGAACCUGAAACCGUGUACGUACAAGCAGUGGGAGCCUCUUUUAUGGGGUGACUGCGUACCUUUUGUAUAAUGGGUCAGCGACUUAUAUUCUGUAGCAAGGUUAACCGAAUAGGGGAGCCGAAGGGAAACCGAGUCUUAACUGGGCGUUAAGUUGCAGGGUAUAGACCCGAAACCCGGUGAUCUAGCCAUGGGCAGGUUGAAGGUUGGGUAACACUAACUGGAGGACCGAACCGACUAAUGUUGAAAAAUUAGCGGAUGACUUGUGGCUGGGGGUGAAAGGCCAAUCAAACCGGGAGAUAGCUGGUUCUCCCCGAAAGCUAUUUAGGUAGCGCCUCGUGAAUUCAUCUCCGGGGGUAGAGCACUGUUUCGGCAAGGGGGUCAUCCCGACUUACCAACCCGAUGCAAACUGCGAAUACCGGAGAAUGUUAUCACGGGAGACACACGGCGGGUGCUAACGUCCGUCGUGAAGAGGGAAACAACCCAGACCGCCAGCUAAGGUCCCAAAGUCAUGGUUAAGUGGGAAACGAUGUGGGAAGGCCCAGACAGCCAGGAUGUUGGCUUAGAAGCAGCCAUCAUUUAAAGAAAGCGUAAUAGCUCACUGGUCGAGUCGGCCUGCGCGGAAGAUGUAACGGGGCUAAACCAUGCACCGAAGCUGCGGCAGCGACGCUUAUGCGUUGUUGGGUAGGGGAGCGUUCUGUAAGCCUGUGAAGGUGUGCUGUGAGGCAUGCUGGAGGUAUCAGAAGUGCGAAUGCUGACAUAAGUAACGAUAAAGCGGGUGAAAAGCCCGCUCGCCGGAAGACCAAGGGUUCCUGUCCAACGUUAAUCGGGGCAGGGUGAGUCGACCCCUAAGGCGAGGCCGAAAGGCGUAGUCGAUGGGAAACAGGUUAAUAUUCCUGUACUUGGUGUUACUGCGAAGGGGGGACGGAGAAGGCUAUGUUGGCCGGGCGACGGUUGUCCCGGUUUAAGCGUGUAGGCUGGUUUUCCAGGCAAAUCCGGAAAAUCAAGGCUGAGGCGUGAUGACGAGGCACUACGGUGCUGAAGCAACAAAUGCCCUGCUUCCAGGAAAAGCCUCUAAGCAUCAGGUAACAUCAAAUCGUACCCCAAACCGACACAGGUGGUCAGGUAGAGAAUACCAAGGCGCUUGAGAGAACUCGGGUGAAGGAACUAGGCAAAAUGGUGCCGUAACUUCGGGAGAAGGCACGCUGAUAUGUAGGUGAAGUCCCUUGCGGAUGGAGCUGAAAUCAGUCGAAGAUACCAGCUGGCUGCAACUGUUUAUUAAAAACACAGCACUGUGCAAACACGAAAGUGGACGUAUACGGUGUGACGCCUGCCCGGUGCCGGAAGGUUAAUUGAUGGGGUCAGCGCAAGCGAAGCUCUUGAUCGAAGCCCCGGUAAACGGCGGCCGUAACUAUAACGGUCCUAAGGUAGCGAAAUUCCUUGUCGGGUAAGUUCCGACCUGCACGAAUGGCGUAAUGAUGGCCAGGCUGUCUCCACCCGAGACUCAGUGAAAUUGAACUCGCUGUGAAGAUGCAGUGUACCCGCGGCAAGACGGAAAGACCCCGUGAACCUUUACUAUAGCUUGACACUGAACAUUGAGCCUUGAUGUGUAGGAUAGGUGGGAGGCUUAGAAGUGUGGACGCCAGUCUGCAUGGAGCCGACCUUGAAAUACCACCCUUUAAUGUUUGAUGUUCUAACGUUGACCCGUAAUCCGGGUUGCGGACAGUGUCUGGUGGGUAGUUUGACUGGGGCGGUCUCCUCCUAAAGAGUAACGGAGGAGCACGAAGGUUGGCUAAUCCUGGUCGGACAU
rnacentral:rRNA from 1 species